rnacentral:lncRNA from 1 species
GGAAGGGCAAAGCGCAGUUGAGAAGGAGACAAGGGUAAAUGUUCUCAUUUUUCUCAAGCUAGCUCUGAAGGAGUAGAAGUACAUCCACUAAUAUUUAAAAAUAUAGAAUCUAAGCCAUUUAAGGGCUAGAAUAAUGGUUUUAGGUGACUAAAUAUGAAAAUUCUUGCAUUUAAAUAAAUUUAAUAAAAUCAAUAAAUUUAGCAAAUUAGUAAAAUUUACAUUGUAGCAAAUUCUUACAUAUUUUAGUAAAAUAUUAUUUUCUUGGCUCUUUUAUCAAAGCACUUAUGGACCUGGGUUGUGACAGUUGCAGUUUCUAGUGAGGACAGUCCCCUUGCACCCAGCCACCCAUCAUCUGGUCCAGAAGUGCCCUGUGAUUGUCCCCACUGGGGAGAACAGUCAUGAUUGGAGAGUCAGCCCAGCACCUCUGUUGGUCUGCUGUUUGUAUUCUUCUAGCCUCCAAAGAAACUGUGUCUCUGACUCGCUGAGCAACUUGUCUGCAGCUCCCCCCAUGAGAAGCACGGCAAGGAGGCGAGCUUGCUCUGACUCCAUCAAUAACCCUCUCAGCUUCCCUGCCAUGGUGCCUGCUGCCACUGACUUGGAUGGAUUUAUAAUCAAUCUACUAAAUUUUAA